rnacentral:tRNA from 2 species
GGCGCUAUAGCCAAGUGGUUACGGCGACAGAUUAGAAUCGAUCAUCGAAUCAUCUGUUCCUCUUUGAGGGCGCAGGUUCAAAUCCUGCUGGCGUCG